GACGAACGCUGGCGGCGUGCUUAACACAUGCAAGUCGAACGGAAAGGCCUGCUUUCCCUUGUGGAUUGCGGGUACUCGAGUGGCGAACGGGUGAGUAACGCGUGAGUGAUCUGCCCCCAACUUGGGUAUAAGCCUGGGAAACUGGGUCUAAUUCCCGAUAGGACUGCAGGGUGGUGCCUGUGGUGGAAAACGAUUUUCUAGUGGUUGGGGAUGAGCUCGCGGCCUAUCAGCUUGUUGGUGGGGUAAUGGCCUACCAAGGCGGCGACGGGUAGCCGGCCUGAGAGGGUGGACGGACACAUUGGGACUGAGAUACGGCCCAGACUCCUACGGGAGGCAGCAGUGGGGAAUAUUGCACAAUGGGCGGAAGCCUGAUGCAGCGACGCCGCGUGGGGGAUGACGGCCUUCGGGUUGUAAACUCCUUUCGACCGCGAGGAAGCCACCUGGUUGGAAGGGUGGUGACGGUAGUGGUAGAAGAAGCACCGGCUAACUACGUG
rnacentral:rRNA from 1 species